UAAUCACCAGGGUAAGAGAAUGCAAACAGGGUUGUAAUUAGUUCGCACUUCAGUAACGAUGACCUUAUAAUCGUCGGCGACUGAUUCGGUCCCAUACGUUCAGCAUUACAUGGCUGAAUUUGACCCUAGCUAAAAACAAACGUUAUUCUACAUUGUCUAAUCUUAAACCAAGAAAUGAUACAUGUAACAUGUGGAAAGGCUUGCGGAGAAUUAAUUAAGAUCUGGGUUACGGACGACAACUUGAAAGGAAUUUGGGCGGAAUUUUAAUGUUAUAGAUGGAAUGCCAUUCAGUUUAAUCUCAACACGAACAGUGAUCUAAGCGGAUUCUAAGCAGAUUUUGGGCUUAACUCAAAGUAUAUAUCUAUGUGUAGAAAAACAAAACAAAACCAAAACGAACUCAUGAAAUGUGUUGCUGUUCUGAUACUAUUAUUCAUGACUGCUGGUUUUGUCCGUUUCAGUGAAAUGCAUUAUAAUAAUUAAGUUGGCCUUUCUUGAAUCAGUCCACUUUUUCUGUCAUUGAAUUGUAAUGUCUAAAUGGAUAUAAAUCUCCUUAAAAACUAGUUUCUCGUCUUCUUAGAAUACCCUUAUAUUAAUUGUUCUUGACUUUGUAAACUGAAAUUCCCGUUUAAUUUUGCAGUGGGCUGGCAUCAAAAGCGGCAUUUCUGAUCUAUGCAUGAUGGGUGAUCUGAAAGUACUAGCACUUCAAAAAUUGAUUUAUCCUUAUCAUGCUCAAGAAAUUCUUGUGAAGCAGGCCAAGACUUAGGAAACUUCUGUAAUGGCCUUUAUGAACAAAUGAAUGAAAUCUAAUGUAGCACCGUUUCAAGCUUACGUGUCAGCGUCACGGAUCAUAAAUCUUUAUACUACAUGCAAAAAUAACUUGAUCUAAUAACAGCUGAUGAACUUCUUGACUAUAUAUACGUCCUACUUUGAUGGUUACAUUGCACGAAAAAAUAAGUUCUUUCUCGGCUUUAAAUCGUUACCACUCUCAGUUUACUGACAGAUUUGAAACAAGUGGGUGUUUGCACUGAAUUUCCGGGAUAAUUUAUUAUGCAUGCAACAUCAUCAUAAACUGCACACGCACAACAUACCAUGAAAAUUUUGGUAAUUUUGGUUGAUGACAGGAAAAAAUGCUAAAAACGUAGCUAAGACUUCUCGUAAGAGCCAUUCUCACCCACUGGUUUUAUUAGAACAAUGAUCAGCUCGAUCGAGCAGCGCAAUGGAGUCUUUACUCAAGCCAGUCUCUAGACGCUCUAGGUAAACGCGAAAUACACGGAAGAGCUUGGGAGCAUAUAUACGCGUUGGGUGCUUCAGUGAGGUCCUAAUCAGGAAAUUUCGCCCGAUUGAGUUGAAAGAGAACGCCUAAAUACUAGAUUGGUCUCACUGAAUCCCCAACACCUCUAUGUGAGAUAUCUAUCAGUUUGUGUGUUAUUUCUUGUCAAGCUACGACGGCCAAAGAAAUCACAAGAGUAUUUACGAUUGUUACUUAGUUAAGCGGCGCAACGCGUAACGGCAUAGUGGAGUAAUACGUAUUCGAUCAGGACAGGCCUAACAUAUUUGUAAAACACAGGUUUCCAUCUUUAUUGAGGCGCAAAACUUAUGACCCCACUUUUAGUGUUCAAUGCUCAAUAAAUACUUCAAGCUGUCAGCUAAACUGACGCCUUUGGUUUGGAGAGACGUCAUCAGACUAGUCAACCAAAAAAUAUUCAACUCCUUAGUGUAAGCAUAUAACCUUGACUACAGGGGUGCCAUAGUAAUGAAUGGCGCUCGCUCUGGAGUAGAAAAGUACCAGAGUAACACAAAACAGCUGGUGUUAGUCAUAAAGUUGGCAAGCGAAGUCGAAAAAUCUAGCAUACGGGUCUAGCAGGCAACUAAAUCGUUGCUAAUUGCUGGCGCCUUUUAUAAAAUAAACUUGGUAGGUGUGCUAAGGUCGUACCAGGAGAAGAGAAAAAUUCGUCAAAAGCUUGGAUCAUUCGGUGCUAAGAAACUCUUGGCGGCAGGCAGGUGUUGAUUUUGUGACGGUGUAGCGGAACUUCCAGAGCAAGAAGUGUUACAGACAUGAUAAACUUGUUUCUCGUCCUGUUCUUUGGUUUCAAGCACAAUACGGUUUCUGCUGAAGAUUUGGGAGCUGUUUCUACCUGCUUACCAACACACAUGCGGAUGGAAGUGGACCGAACCAAAAAUCCCGACCUUGUGCCUGGGGAAAUGCAUCUUAAUGACCCCAACUACACUGCCACAGAAUUCAAUGACACCUUUGUCCUGUUUGAAAUACCACUGGAUGGCUGUGGAACAACACGAGAUGGAUCAAACCCAGACUAUUUACUUUUCUCUAAUACUGCUCACUGGGAUUCGCCAGGACAGCUUAUAACUUAUACAAAAGGAUUUAAGGCUCACAUCACUUGCAGAUACUCUAGACAUGGAUCUGUUGGUGUACGUGUGAGAGUUGUGCCUGAAACAGAGGAACCUCCAACAGAUCCAAAGGGUAAAUCCUGAUCAGCUUUUUCUCUUUUUGCGCAAUGUGAUUGGUGCAUAGAUUACUGCAAUCUGCAACUUAA
rnacentral:misc_RNA from 1 species